AAUGAGCAGCCCCCCAAUCUGGCUAGAGCUGUCACAAAGGAGCCACUUUUCCAAACCCUCCUCUCAAUGGAUCGCCAAAUGAAUCCCCCUUCUGCUCCGGGGAGAGGGUAACACCCCCUGUGCACCGGGAAGAGGCAGUGCAACACGCUCCGGCCAGAGAGCAGCCCCGGGGACGGCGGGCUGUAAUUGCCUCUUGGAACGUGCAGAGCAGCCGCCGUGACCCCAAAAAGUGACUCGGUGAUCGUGACCACUCCAAGGGGCAUCUCCGGCGUUAAAGGGACGAGGGAGGUGGGAGCCAGCGAGCCACAACGAUGGGAGUCCCAUCCCAUGAAACUCACACUGCAUUUACCCUGCCAUAACCGGGGUAAUUGGGGAGGGGGGAAACGAAUGUGAACGAAGUGACCCGGGGCUCGCUCUUCCCUUGGCUCCUCUGACGGCGUGCGUCCCGCCGGCGGAGGCACGGGGGAUCCCCGGGGUCCGGCGGCGAGGGAGCGCCCGGGCGGGUUCGUGGCAGGGACUCGUGGAGGGGACCCGUUUGCGGGGCUCCGCGGGUCCCGUCCCCGCCACCACCGCUGCCGGAGAGAGCCACUCGCUGCGCCCGGGUCCCGCACCCCUCUAUGAUUAUUACCAUCAUCACCAGCAACUUCUCCCUCUCUCUCCCUCUCUCUCUCUCCCUCUCUCUUUUUUCCUCCUUCAGCUUAGUAAAAAGUGAGUUUGGUGUGUGUCGUU